rnacentral:rRNA from 1 species
CCUACGGGAGGCAGCAGUGGGGAAUAUUGCGCAAUGGGCGAAAGCCUGACGCAGCGACGCCGCGUGAGGGAUGAAGGUCUUCGGAUCGUAAACCUCUGUCAGCAGGGAAGAACGGUCACUGUGCUAAUCAGCAGUGAAUUGACGGUACCUGCAAAGGAAGCACCGGCUAACUCCGUGCCAGCAGCCGCGGUAAUACGGAGGGUGCGAGCGUUAAUCGGAAUUACUGGGCGUAAAGCGCUCGUAGGCGGUAUGUCAAGUCAAUGGUGAAAUCCCCGCGCUCAACGUGGGAACUGCCUUUGAAACUGGCAAACUGGAGUGGGGGAGAGGAGAGUGGAAUUCCAGGGGUAGGAGUGAAAUGCGUAGAUAUCUGGAGGAACAUCAGUGGCGAAGGCGACUAUCUGGCACAUAACUGACGCUGAGGAGCGAAAGCGUGGGUAGCAAACAGGAUUAGAUACCCCAGUAGUC